AACGUAGGGGACAAGCGUUAUCCGGAUUUACUGGGCGUAAAGCGCCCGUAGGCGGCUUAACAAGUUGGAUGUGAAAGCUCCCGGCUUAACUGGGAGAGGUCAUUCAAAACUGUUAGGCUAGAGGAUGGAAGAGGAGAGCGGAAUUCCCGGUGUAGUGGUGGAAUGCGUAGAGAUCGGGAGGAACACCAGUGGCGAAAGCGGCUCUCUGGUUCACACCUGACGCUGAGGGGCGAAAGCGUGGGGAGCGAACGGG
rnacentral:rRNA from 2 species